GACGAACGCUGGCGGCGUGCUUAACACAUGCAAGUCGAACGGAAAGGCCCUGCUUUUGUGGGGUGCUCGAGUGGCGAACGGGUGAGUAACACGUGAGUAACCUGCCCUUGACUUUGGGAUAACUUCAGGAAACUGGGGCUAAUACCGGAUAGGAGCUCCUGCUGCAUGGUGGGGGUUGGAAAGUUUCGGCGGUUGGGGAUGGACUCGCGGCUUAUCAGCUUGUUGGUGGGGUAGUGGCUUACCAAGGCUUUGACGGGUAGCCGGCCUGCGGGGGUGACCGGCCACAUUGGGACUGAGAUACGGCCCAGACUCCUACGGGAGGCAGCAGUGGGGAAUAUUGCACAAUGGGCGGAAGCCUGAUGCAGCAACGCCGCGUGCGGGAUGACGGCCUGCGGGUUGUAAACCGCUUUCGCCUGUGACGAAGCGUGAGUGACGGUAAUGGGUAAAGAAGCACCGGCUAACUACGUG
rnacentral:rRNA from 1 species